UCUGUAGCUGACGUGACUGAGAAUAUUCCUGUAAUAACGGAGACAGUGGAAACUACUCCAGAAGCGAACAAUUUAAUUGAUGCAAUCCCAG